AGAGUUUGAUCCUGGCUCAGCGCGAACGCUGGCGGCGUGCCUAACACAUGCAAGUCGUGCGGAGGUGCCUUUUGGCACCUCAGCGGCAAACGGGUGAGUAACACGUGAGUAACCUGCCCUCAGGAAGGGGAUAACCCUCCGAAAGGGGGGCUAAUACCCUAUAAUGUCAGUCACCACUAAGGUGGCUGACCAAAGGUGGCCUCUGCUCUGCAUGCUACCGCCUGAGGAGGGGCUCGCGGCCCAUCAGGUAGUUGGUGGGGUAACGGCCUACCAAGCCUAUGACGGGUAGCCGGCCUGAGAGGGUGUCCGGCCACAGUGGGACUGAGACACGGCCCACACCCCUACGGGGGGCAGCAGUGGGGAAUCGUGGGCAAUGGGCGAAAGCCUGACCCCGCGACGCCGCGUGGAGGAAGAAGCCCUUCGGGGUGUAAACUCCUGUCGGGGGGGAAGAUGCUCACAGAGGUGAAUAAUCUCUGUGGGUGACGGUACCCCCAGAGGAAGGGACGGCUAACUACGUGCCAGCAGCCGCGGUAAUACGUAGGUCCCGAGCGUUGCGCGAAUUCACUGGGCGUAAAGCGUCCGCAGCCGGAUGGGUAAGCGGUUCGUCAAAGCCCACCGCUCAACGGUGGAAAGGCGUACCGAACUGCCCAUCUUGAGGCACGCUCAGGCAGGCGGAAUUCCCGGUGUAGCGGUGAAAUGCGUAGAUAUCGGGAGGAACACCGAAGGCGAAGGCAGCCUGCUGGGGCUGUUCUGACGGUCAGGGACGAAAGCUGGGGGAGCAAACCGGAUUAGAUACCCGGGUAGUCCCAGCCGUAAACCAUGGGCGCUAGACGUCGUCCGUAAGGGCGGUGUCUCAGCUAACGCGUUAAGCGCCCCGCCUGGGGAGUACGGGCGCAAGCCUGAAACUCAAAGGAAUUGGCGGGGGCCCGCACAACCGGUGGAGCGUCUGGUUCAAUUCGAUGCUAACCGAAAAACCUUACCCGGGCUUGACAUGAUGGGAAACCUCUGCGAAAGCGGAGGGUGCCGUCCUCUGGACGGAAUCCCAUCACAGGUGGUGCAUGGCCGUCGUCAGCUCGUGUCGUGAGAUGUUGGGUUAAGUCCCGCAACG
rnacentral:rRNA from 1 species